UGCAGUCGAGCGAUCAAGGGAGCUUGCUCCCUGAGGUUAGCGGCGGACGGGUGAGUAACACGUGGGCAACCUGCCUAUAAGACUGGGAUAACUUCGGGAAACCGGAGCUAAUACCGGAUAAUUCUUUUCUACACAUGUAGGAAAGCUGAAAGACGGUUUACGCUGUCACUUAUAGAUGGGCCCGCGGCGCAUUAGCUAGUUGGUGAGGUAACGGCUCACCAAGGCGACGAUGCGUAGCCGACCUGAGAGGGUGAUCGGCCACACUGGGACUGAGACACGGCCCAGACUCCUACGGGAGGCAGCAGUAGGGAAUCUUCCGCAAUGGACGAAAGUCUGACGGAGCAACGCCGCGUGAGUGAUGAAGGUUUUCGGAUCGUAAAACUCUGUUGUUAGGGAAGAACAAGUACUAGAGUAACUGCUAGUACCUUGACGGUACCUAACCAGAAAGCCACGGCUAACUACGUGCCAGCAGCCGCGGUAAUACGUAGGUGGCAAGCGUUGUCCGGAAUUAUUGGGCGUAAAGCGCGCGCAGGCGGUCCUUUAAGUCUGAUGUGAAAGCCCACGGCUCAACCGUGGAGGGUCAUUGGAAACUGGGGGACUUGAGUACAGAAGAGAAGAGUGGAAUUCCACGUGUAGCGGUGAAAUGCGUAGAGAUGUGGAGGAACACCAGUGGCGAAAGCGACUCUUUGGUCUGUAACUGACGCUG
rnacentral:rRNA from 1 species